UACGUAGGGUGCAAGCGUUAAUCGGAAUUACUGGGCGUAAAGCGUGCGCAGGCGGUUUUGUAAGACCGAUGUGAAAUCCCCGGGCUUAACCUGGGAACUGCAUUGGUGACUGCAAGGCUUGAGUGUGUCAGAGGGAGGUGGAAUUCCGCGUGUAGCAGUGAAAUGCGUAGAUAUGCGGAGGAACACCGAUGGCGAAGGCAGCCUCCUGGGAUAACACUGACGCUCAUGCACGGAAGCGUGGGGAGCAAACAGG
rnacentral:rRNA from 1 species